UACGAAGGGGGCUAGCGUUGUUCGGAAUUACUGGGCGUAAAGCGUAUGCAGGCGGAUCAUUAAGUCGGGGGUGAAAUCCCGAGGCUCAACCUCGGAACUGCCUUCGAUACUGAUGAUCUUGAGUUCGGGAGAGGUGAGUGGAACUGCGAGUGUAGAGGUGAAAUUCGUAGAUAUUCGCAAGAACACCAGUGGCGAAGGCGGCUCACUGGCCCGAUACUGACGCUGAGGCACGAAAGCGUGGGGAGCAAACAGG
rnacentral:rRNA from 1 species